rnacentral:snRNA from 1 species
GUGCUCAUUUUGGCAGCACAUAUACUAAAAUUGGAAUGAUACAGAGAAGAUUAGCAUAGCCCCUGCACAAAGAUGACAUGCAAAUUCGUGAAGCAUUCCUUAUUUUA